rnacentral:rRNA from 1 species
UUCGGGAAUGGGAUGUUCCCUAGUAGAGUGGCGAACGGGUGAGUAACGCGUGGGUAACCUGCCCUUGAGAUGGGGAUAACACCCCCAACGGGGUGCUAAUACCGAAUAAUAUCAUCUUUUCAUACGCUUAGAUGAUCAAAGGUGGCCUCUACAUGUAAGCUACCGCUUAAGGAUGGGCCCGCGUCUCAUUAGCUUGUUGGUGAGGUAAUGGCUCACCAAGGCUGUGAUGGGUAGCUGGUUUGAGAGGAUGGUCAGCCACACUGGGAUUGAGAUACGCCCCAGACUCCUUCGGGAGGCAGCAGUCGAGAGGCUUUGGCAAUGGGGGAAACCCUGACCAAGCGACGCCGCGUGGGUGAUGAAGGCUUUCGGGUCGUAAAGCCCUGUCAUGGGAGAAGAAAAAUUACCGGGACAAUACCCCGGUAGCUUGACGGUAUCCCAGGAGGAAGCUCCGGCAAACUCCGUGCCAGCAGCCGCGGUAAUACGGGGGGAGCAAGCGUUGUUCGGAUUUACUGGGCGUAAAGGGCGUGUAGGCGGCCUAUCAAGUCGGGCGUGAAAUUCUCUGGCUCAACCAGAGACCUGCACCCGAUACUGUUAGGCUUGAGUAUAGGAGAGGAAAGCGGAAUUCCUGGUGUAGCGGUGAAAUGCGUAGAUAUCAGGAAGAACACCAGUGGUGAAGGCGGCUUUCUGGCCUACUACUGACGCUGAUGCGCGAAAGCCGGGGGAGCGAACAGGAUUAGGUACCCUGGUAGUCCCGGCCGUAAACGUUGGGCACUAGGUGUAGGGGGUAUCGACCCCCUCUGUGCCGAAGCUAACGCAUUAAGUGCCCCGCCUGGGGAGUACGACCGCAAGGUUGAAACUCAAAGGAAUUGACGGGGGCCCGCACAAGCGGUGGAGCAUGUGGUUCAAUUCGAUCAAUGCGAAGAACCUUACCCGGACUUGACAUGUACCUGACUGGUGUGGAAACACAUCUUCCCUUCGGGGCAGGUACACAGGUGCUGCAUGGCUGUCGUCAGCUCGUGCCGUGAGGUGUUGGGUUAAGUCCCGCAACGAGCGCAACCCUUGUCCUUAUUUGCCAUUAGUUUGGUUGGGCACUCUAAGGAGACUGCCGGUGAUAAACCGGAGGAAGGUGGGGAUGACGUCAAGUCCUCAUGGUCCUUACGUCCGGGGCUACACACGUGCUACAAUGGUCGGUACAGAGGGUCGCAAUGCCGUGAGGUG